rnacentral:rRNA from 1 species
GAUGAACGCUGGCGGCGUGCCUAACACAUGCAAGUCGAGCGGACAGACGAGGCGUUUUCCUGGCUGACGCGGGCGGCGGGCGGGUGAGGCACAGGAGGAUACCCUAUCUAUAGGGAUGAGAUACCUUCGGGGAAGCGGAUACAACACAGGAUCAGAUAGUGAAAGGGAGGGUUCUAUAGAGAUAGAGCGUUUUGAUGUCACUUAUAGAUGUAUCCGCGCCGCAUUAGCUAGUUGGUAGGGUAACGGCCUACCAAGGCAACGAUGCGUAGCUGACCUGAGAGGAUGAUCGGCCACACUGGAACUGAGACACGGUCCAGACUCCUACGGGAGGCAGCAGUAGGGAAUCUUCGGCAAUGGGCGAAAGCCUGACGGAGCAAUGCCGCGUGUGUGAUGAAGGUCUUCGGAUCGUAAAGCUCUGUUAGUAGGGAGGAACGACUGUAAGAGAAAACAUUGCCGUCUUGACGGUACCUACACAAAAAGCACCGGCUAACUACGUG